GACAGAGGUGCCGAGCGUUAGGCGGAAUCACUGGGCUUAAAGCGCGUGUAGGCGGGGCGGAACGUCGGUCGCUGAAAUCCCCCGGCUCAACCGGGGAAGUGGCGCCGAUACGACCACCCUGGAGGGACGUAGGGGGACCUGGAACUUCCGGUGGAGCGGUGAAAUGCGUUGAGAUCGGAAGGAACGCCCGUGGCGAAAGCGAGGUCCUGGACGUUUUCUGACGCUGAGACGCGAAAGCCAGGGGAGCGAACGGG
rnacentral:rRNA from 1 species